CCUACGGGGUGCACCAGUGGGGAAUAUUGCACAAUGGGCGCAAGCCUGAUGCAGCCAUGCCGCGUGUAUGAAGAAGGCCUUCGGGUCGUAAAGUACUUUCAGCGGGGAGGAAGGUGUUGUGGUUAAUAACCGCAGCAAUUGACGUUACCCGCAGAAGAAGCACCGGCUAACUCCGUGCCAGCAGCCGCGGUAAUACGGAGGGUGCAAGCGUUAAUCGGAAUUACUGGGCGUAAAGCGCACGCAGGCGGUCUGUCAAGUCGGAUGUGAAAUCCCCGGGCUUAACCUGGGAACUGCAUUCGAAACUGGCAGGCUAGAGUCUUGUAGAGGGGGGUAGAAUUCCAGGUGUAGCGGUGAAAUGCGUAGAGAUCUGGAGGAAUACCGGUGGCGAAGGCGGCCCCCUGGACAAAGACUGACGCUCAGGUGCGAAAGCGCGGGGAGCAAACAGGAUUAGAUACCCCAGUAGU
rnacentral:rRNA from 1 species